rnacentral:lncRNA from 1 species
CAUUUCCUUCAGCUUUCUUCUCUUCUUACCUUUGAACACACCUCUCGAAGAUUGGGAAGUGGUUUCAUGCCAAGGAUCCUUCCACAUACUUCAUCAAGGUCUUUGUUGAGACCCAACUAGAAAUUGUAGGUUUUGUCCUUAUUCACCAAAUCCUUAUAUUGUUUCUUAUCAUCUGAAGAUUUCCAUUCAAUAGCUUCAUAAAUAUCUCGCUACUGUCAGUACCUAUUGAGAGUGUUGAAAUACUCAGUGACCUAGUGUUUACCUUGUUUGAGAUCAUGGAGAAUGCUUUUGAUCUCAAAGAUGGCAUAUGUAUUAUCAUAAUUGGAAUAAGUUUCUUUCACAACUGCCAUAUUUCUUUAGAUGUGUCAUAGUACAUAAAGUUUUCUCCGAUGUCAUUGGUCAUUGUGUUGAGGAGCUAAG